ACUCCAACGGGAGGCAGCAGUGGGGAAUAUUGCACAAUGGGCGCAAGCCUGAUGCAGCCAUGCCGCGUGUAUGAAGAAGGGCCUUCGGGUUGAUAAAGUACUUUUCAGCAGGUGAGGAAGGUGGAUAUGUUAAUAGCAUAUUCAUUUUGACGUUUAGCUGCAGAAGAAGCACCGGCUAACUCCGUGCCAGCAGCCGCGGUAAUACGGAGGGUGCGAGCGUUAAUCGGAAUUACUGGGCGUAAAGCGCAUGCAGGUGGUUUGUUAAGUCAGAUGUGAAAGCCCGGGGCUCAACCUCGGAAUUGCAUUUGAAACUGGCAAAGCUAGAGUACUGUAGAGGGGGGUAGAAUUUCAGGUGUAGCGGUGAAAUGCGUAGAGAUCUGAAGG
rnacentral:rRNA from 1 species